GAGCAGCUUUAAGAGAUGUGCAUCUUCACAGAAUAAAGAUGAGUAAGAGCACUGUGUUUGUGUAUGACAUAAGUCCUCCAUUAGCUGCCUCUCCCUUUAACAACCAAGAACAACACAUCGCAUAAAACACAAACAGCCUCUACCCGAGGCCACUGUGCACAGAGUGAAGGCAGCUUUCUUUCUAUGAUAAAGAACAAAAAAGAAAGAAAGAAAAUGAAACAGUUCCAGCCCCCAAAGCCAAGAGGUAACCCUGAAAAUAAGAAGGCUUAAGGGGGGACCUUUAAUCUUGAAUCCAAACCUGUUCUGCACUCCAGAGAGCACCUGAGGGACACGUGGAAAACUAACUGGAGCAGCCCCACGAAAGGCCACAAACUGGAUUCCUGUGAAGGAACCAUCUCAGGCCCUGGAAUUGUUGGACUGUUGGAGCCACAGAACUGAAAGAAGGACCAUGAAACAGUGGAAGAAAACCAUCUACGUGUGUGCUAUCAAGGACUUAACUGCCUCUAGAAUGUGAUAAGAUUGAAAAAGAACAUUUACUCAUCUUGAGACAGAGAGAAGAAGCAAGAGGAGGAGGAAGAAGAGAAGAGGAAGGGCAGAUUGAGGCAGAAAGAAGUGUUAACAACCUUCCCAAGGACAGCACAGCUUUUUGCAGACAGAGCUGAGAUUUCAACCUGGUAGUGUGACUCCAGCCAUCACCCUAUGUUUUAUUGACUUUGUGACUGUUACAAUGGCGAGUUAAAAGUGUGAAUCAGCUGUGCUCCCAUAAAACAGGUAUUCUGCCAGCAGGAAACAACAUGGACAUGCCAAAGCCGUUCUCACUCUUUAUCACUGUCCUAGGACUCAGGGGGAUUUAAGGCUACAAGUCAUUAUAAAAGUAUUAAAGAGAAACCUUAGUUCAGACCUUAAGGAGGCAGCUGGAAAUGCUACUCCAGUGAGAGGUCUGACUGCUGUGUCCACACAUAGUUUUCUCUGGAUAUAUUUAUUUUGGAUCAGUGGGAUAUGAAAAUAGGAAAAUGAAACUCAAACAACAGGCCAGAAGACCCAAGUUAUAGGUCUUUUUCUGGAAACAAAUGACCUUCAAAGUUCCAUCUCUCCUCAUGGGGCUAAAUUAACUCAUCUAGAAUGUAAAAUCUGCCCCAUUAAUCCAUUAAUUUGAUCAGAAAUUAUUGCUGGACUUUCUUUUAUGCAACAAGAAUAAUAAAAAACUUGGUUGGGUGAAUAACUCCUUGCCCUGUGGAACUCACUCCCCCUGCCUCUACAGUGAAAUGGGAUAAAUGCUGUGAUUGACAGCUGCACAGCCAACUAUUUGGGUGGAACCACACAGGAACAUGGCACGAGAAACCUAAUAGUCCGUA